CGCGCCCUGAUUGGCUAACGCCCCGCCUGCGCGGCUCGCCAUUGGCUCGCACGUCAGCACAGCGGUCUCCGAUUGGCUGGCACCGCCCUUCCUCCCCGCUGACGGGCUCCUGCGCUCAGGUCCCGCUCUCGCACCCGCGUCCCGACUCGCCAUUGGCGGCGUGUCUCGGCCCCGCCGCUCCCGUCCCGCCCUGCCUCUUCCUCCCGCCUUCCCGUGCCGCCCUCAGCGCUGCUUGGUGCUCCCGGCGCAGUCCCGCCUCCCUGGCCAGCACGGCCCCGCCCGCCGAUGGCUCAGCCUCCAUAACACUCUCCUCGCCGAAGCGGCCGCUUCCGGGGACACAAAGCUCAGAUUCUCUUUCAUCAGAAGAACCCUAUCCAUCAGAAAACGCAUGGUUUGGCAGUGAGGUGUAAAGUAGUUUUCCCCCAAGUCAGUAGAUAAGGUUUCAGCGUGGACAAGAAAACCCAGGCAUGGAUCAGAAAACAAAUUAUUCUUGCAGUGACCUGAGUUUGUAUGUUCAUGAAAUAACAUUGUUGCUACCUCAACUGCAGAAGCACUUCCAAGAAACCCUUCUCUCCUUAUCCCACCCUGUACAGCUGUCCUAUAUGAAAUAAUAUAAAAAAAAUGUUAAACCUCAGUGGGCUGGACUCUGCUGCUCGAGUAACCACACAGAGGGUGGGGGGACUGCAGCAUUAUCAGCACAUUACCCCUUGUUAUCCAGAAUAGGCUAUUCCCUGAUUCUUCAAACAGGAUUUUCCUGUUACUGUGUGUGGGCUGGGAGGUUUAACUACAUUCUGCCUCUUCCUACUGCUAUGAUUAUUAUUG